CAAUAGCGUAUAUUAAAGUUGUUGCAGUUAAAAAGCUCGUAGUCGGAUUUCUGGCUCGGAAGGGCGGUCCGUUCGGCUCAGUCGGAUGUGAACCAGCUUCUUCCGGCCAUCCUCGUGGAGAGCUGUACCGGCUUCACCGCUAGUGCAAGCAAUCUGCGUCUUUUACUGUGAACAAAUUAGAGUGUUCAAAGCAGGCUUACGCCACUGAAUACAUUAGCAUGGAAUAAUACUAUAGGACUUUGGUGAUUCUAUUGUUGGUUACGCACCAGGGUAAUGAUUAAUAGGGAUAGUUGGGGGUAUUCGUAUUCAAUUGUCAGAGGUGAAAUUCUUGGAUUUAUGGAAGACGAACAACUGCGAAAGCAUUUACCAAGGAUGUUUUCAUUGA
rnacentral:rRNA from 1 species